CUCGUAAAGAAUUAGUUACAAUUUUUAAAAAUCAUUUUGUUUGGAUUUUAACCUUAUUCAUGCUGCUAAAAAUUUUCAAGCAGGCAACUCUUAUAAACAUUUUCACUUUGAAUUUAGGUUCAUACUUCGCAAGUCCUUUCUACUUCAGGAUUAUAAAGAGGCAGAAGCAAUGGAUGUUGCUGUGGCAGUCCGUCAAUUAUGUGGGGGAGAACAUACACGGACAGUAUUUUCAGAAUCUGCCCUUGACUCCUACUUCAAAUACAACUCACUUAAUUAGGUAUGACAUUUAAUCAUAAACUAAUAGUUCAAAGUUAUUUAU
rnacentral:lncRNA from 12 species